UACGUAGGGCGCAAGCGUUAUCCGGAAUUAUUGGGCGUAAAAGAGCUCGUAGGCGGUUUGUCGCGUCUGCCGUGAAAGUCCCGGGGCUCAACUCCGGAUCUGCGGUGGGUACGGGCAGACUAGAGUGAUGUAGGGGAGACUGGAAUUCCUGGUGUAGCGGUGAAAUGCGCAGAUAUCAGGAGGAACACCGAUGGCGAAGGCAGGUCACUGGGCCGGCAACUGACGCUGAGGAGCGAAAGCAUGGGGGAGCGAACAGG
rnacentral:rRNA from 1 species